rnacentral:rRNA from 1 species
UACGGGGGGGGCAAGCGUUGUUCGGAAUUACUGGGCGUAAAGCGCAUGUAGGCGGAUAUUUAAGUCAGGGGUGAAAUCCCGCAGCUCAACUGCGGAACUGCCUUUGAUACUGGGUAUCUUGAGUAUGGAAGAGGUGAGUGGAAUUCCGAGUGUAGAGGUGAAAUUCGUAGAUAUUCGGAGGAACACCAGUGGCGAAGGCGGCUCACUGGUCCAUUACUGACGCUGAGGUGCGAAAGCGUGGGGAGCAAACAGG